UCAUUCUAGAAGCCUUGGCUUUGAAAGCUUUCUUGCUCUCCUGUUGUCUCUGGUUUUGUGCUAUUUGUGGUCUUUGCUUUUUACUGCAGUGAGAAAUUUGUUUCCAUUUUCUGGAGGAUAAUGUUCAGUCCUGUUUGUGCUGCUGCCCUAGAAGAAUUGAAAUGGAAGGAGAUCUCCCAAGACAUCUUGUGAGGGGUGCAUGGUGUGAUAAUGCAGAGGAACACUUCUUGAGAUGGUCAACUUGUUAUUCUACUUGAUUCUCUGACUGUGAACCUAUAUUGUGAAUUCCAGGAUUGCUUGUCCCAGUAAUGAUCUGGCAGUCAUUCCUUCUUCCUGACCCUUUCCAGGUUUUUGUAUGCUGAGUAAAGGUGCUGAGGAAUGGGUACUCACGUCUUGCCUUUUAGGGCCUGGGAGCUUGUGUAAAGAUGCAGCUGUGAUCUUCGGCUGUUUGUCUCAUUGAAGGGACCUAAUGUUUUACGUUAUUGGUGGGAUCACAGUAUCUGUGGUAGCUUUCUUUUUCACCAUUAAGUUCCUCUUUGAGCUUGCCGCACGUGUAGUCAGCUUCCUCCAGCAUGAGGACCGGGAGCGCCGAGGAGAGCGGACCAUUUAUGACUACGUGCGAGGCAAUUACUUGGAUCCCCGCUCUUGCAAAGUCUUCUGGGAUUGGAAGGAUCCCUGUGAGGUGGGCCACAGCCUGGCCUUCCGAGUGCAUUUAUUCUAUAAGAAUGGCCAGCCUUUCCCUGCCCAUCGUCCUGUGGGCCUGCGAGUUCACAUCUGCCAUGUGGAGCUAGCAAUGGAUAUUCCUGUGACCCAGGAAGUGCUUCAGGAGCCCAGUUGCAAUGUGGUGAAGGUGGCAUUCACUGUGCGUAAGGCUGGGCGCUAUGAGAUCAGCAUAAAACUUGGAGGCUUAAAUGUGGCAUAUAGUCCUUACUACAAAGUCUUUCAGCCAGGGAUGGUGGUUCCCUCCAAAACCAAAAUUGUUUGCCAUUUCUCCACUCUGGUGCUGACAUGUGGACAGCCACACACUUUGCAGAUAGUUCCCCGAGAUGAAUAUGAUAAUCCUACCAGUAACUCAAUAUCACCGAUAGAUGAGCACAAUUACAGCCUCACAAUCCAUGAGCUUGGUCCCCAAGAAGAAGAACCUUCUGAUGUCUUGUUUGAAAAGUCCGUGGUGUCCAAUCAAGAGACAUGUCAGAUUCUCCUGAGACUCACCCUACUACGUAGGGGGUGUUUCCGUGCCUGCAUCUCCUACCAAAACCAGCCUAUUAGCAAUGGAGAAUUUGAUAUCAUUGUUCUAAGUGACAAUGAAAAGAAUAUUGUCGAGCGAAAUGUUUCUACCUCAGGGGUUGGUAGCUACUUUGAGGCCUACCUUUACAAUGCUAGUAGCUAUGCCAAUACCCAGUGGCAUCUUCCACCCCUGCAUUUGGGUUCCUCUCAGCGCCGACCUUCUACUGCUACUGAAGAUGAGGAUGAAGACUCUCCUUCGGACAGCCAGACCCCUGAGAAAGUAAAGAAACCAAAAAAAGUAUAUUGCUACGUUUCACCCAAGCAAUUCUCAGUAAAGGAGUUCUACUUGAAGAUUAUUCCUUGGCGCCUCUUUACCUUCAGAGUAUGUCCAGGCACCAAGUUUUCUUACCAUGGGCCUGACCCUGUACACAAGCUGCUGACACUGGUGGUGGAUGAUGGGAUCCAGCCUCCUGUGGAGCUCAGUUGCAAGGAGAGAAACAUCUUGGCAGCUACUUUCAUUCGCUCUCUACAUAAAAAUAUAGGAGGCUCAGAGACUUUUCAAGACAAAGUAAACUUUUUCCAGAGGGAGCUACGUCAGGUGCACAUGAAGAAACCGCACUCAAAAGUUACUCUGAAAGUCAGCCGCCACAACCUUCUGGAAUCAUCUUUGAAAGCAACACGGAAUUUUUCCCUUUCUGACUGGAGCAAAAAUUUUGAAGUGAUUUUCCAAGAUGAAGAAGCUUUGGACUGGGGAGGUCCUCGCAGAGAGUGGUUUGAACUGAUCUGCAAAGUUUUAUUUGAUACUACCAAUCAACUUUUUACUCAUUUCAGUGACAACAACCAAGCCCUGGUACACCCCAACCCCAACCGGCCACCUUCCUUGCGGUUGAAGGUGUAUGAAUUUGCAGGACGCUUGGUUGGAAAGUGUCUGUACGAGUCGUCUUUGGGAGGGGCUUACAAGCAGCUAGUGAGAGCUCGUUUCACAAGAUCAUUCUUGGCACAGAUCAUAGGAUUAAGGAUGCAUUAUAAGUAUUUUGAAACAGAUGACCCAGAGUUCUAUAAAUCCAAAGUUUGCUUCAUCCUGAAUAAUGAUGUGAGUGAGAUGGAGCUAGUCUUUGCUGAGGAAAAAUACAGCAAAUUGGGACAACUUGAGAAGGUGGUUGAACUGGUAACUGGUGGUGCCCAAAUGCCAGUAACCAAUGAAAAUAAAAUCUUCUAUCUUAAUUUGCUUGCACAGUACAGACUUGCCAAUCAGGUUAGAGAGGAAGUUGAUCACUUUUUGAAAGGUCUCAAUGAACUGGUUCCUGAAAACCUCCUAGCUAUUUUUGAUGAAAAUGAACUUGAGUUGCUUAUGUGUGGUACUGGGGACAUCAGUGUCUGUGAUUUCAAAGCACAUGCUGUAUUAGUGGGUGGUUCUUGGCAUUUUCGAGAAAAGGUUAUGCGGUGGUUCUGGACAGUAGUUUCCAGUUUCACACAGGAGGAAUUGGCCAGGCUGUUGCAGUUUACCACUGGCUCUUCUCAGCUGCCUCCUGGAGGAUUUGCUGCACUCUGCCCAUCUUUCCAGAUCAUUGCAGCUCCGACACACAGUACACUGCCAACAGCCCAUACUUGCUGACAAAUGAUAAAUUGUCAAGAGAUGGCAAAACUCCAAAUGAUCUUUGCUUGUGAAAGAGACUGGUCAGUAGAUCAUCGCUGCUGGUGUUACAGGCAUGAUUCUUCCAAGAAGAUGACAGGGAAGCAAACUCCAGCAUUGGUUCAUUGAGGAAGGCCUGGCAUCUAUAUGAAUGCAGUUUGAUGAAGGGUUCUGAAGAACCUGAACACCUGCAAACUAUUUCAUGACAUUUUGGUUGGUCCUGGAAAUGGUAUUGCCCAACCAUAGAGUUUGGGGUGGGGGGGAAGAGUCAUGUAGAAGAGCAAACAAACUGUCAGAAAACAAAGGCUUGCAGUCUUUCAACAAUGAAAGGCAGAACAUUUCACUGUCAUUCAAUAAUGAAAGGGUGAGCCAUACUGGAAUCAAAGCGAGACAGAAACUUCAAGAUUAAUAUGCCCUGAGCACCUCCUUUCACCAUCAUCAUUAGUGACUGGGUGGGAUCAGCACAGCCCUUGAUCGAUGAGCUUUAAUUCAUCAGCUCACCUCUGAAUGUGGAGAAAAGUCCCUUCUUGGGCAGCGGCUCCUUGCAACAGCUGGCUUUCCAGUCCAUGGAAUGUAUCCCAUCUGCAGUGCAUUAGUGGAUGUGCUCCGUAUGUGUAAGAGAAAAGCAUAUGUGGAUUCUGAACAUUGUCUUAAGAAUAAAAUGGGUUAAUUAGACUAAGGAACAUAGUGCCAGGAGCCACAUCUGGGAGCCAACUGCCAUGCAUGCAUGAAUCCUCGGGUAUUUUAGUUCUAGAAUAUUUAAUAUGGAUAAUGCUGUCCCUCAAAGAUAAGGAAGUGAUGCGCAUGAUUUAUGAGUAAUUUGUAUUUCAAAAAGACUUGAAUGAGCUCUGCCUAUGAAGUUUCCUUUCCUCAAAUUAAAAAGAAAGAUUAAUCCUCCAAGCAUUGCUGCUGGGGGAACUAGGUGGCAGAGGGUCUUAUUCUCAUAAUUCAAACAUAGGUGUUGCUAGGCUAGGGCUCAAGGCCCCCCGACCCUGUAUCUAUUUCUCAGAAUCCUGACUCUCUAUUGCUGCCAGUGGAAGAUAUUUCCUAAGGGCUUAGCUUCCCUCCACAAAUGCGAGGACUACCCAUCCAAAAAUCUCUCACCCACAUGACAAUUAAACUUAGGGGAGAAAACUAUGUAUGUUAAAGAAAGUUUUGAUUCCAAACCUUUUUUGCAUGAAUGGAGGCAAUUUUCUUCCAUGAAGGAAAAAAGAGAAGUGGCAGAGAGAAGGGACAGAAAGAGAGAGGAACUACUGAUUUGGGAUGAUCUGUAGUCUGAAUUAAUUGAAAUAUCUAUUUUAUUAGAGGUUAUUUGAAAAGUGGGGGUUGAAUGGACAAUUAAUUGGCUUUGCCUUCUGUGAGAAUUAAAUAGAUCCUAGUAAUUAUUACUAAAUUGGCAUACAUAGGUAUUAGCAUAUGCAUGGUUAUGCAGUUUUGUGCAGCCUGGCCCCAAACCUUAGAAGUACCUUGCAAAACCAAACUGCAAACUAACUAUGCUGUUCCUUCCUGAAUUCAUUGGUCAUUCUUUAGACAAACCAAACAACAUUUUAAAGUGGAAACAAGAGUUUCCUCCUACAGGGACAAAAUAAACAAAACGCGGUCCCUUUGCAUACUUUUAUUUACAAUACACCAACCAAUGCCUUCAAAUGUACCUUCUUUUGAGGUUUGAUUGAUAAUUUAUCCUUGGAAUGGGAACUUGGAAGUCAUAUUGUUUGGCUAUUUUAAUCAGUUUCAGAACUAGAUUUUUCUUUGAUGAUUCCUUAAGAGCUGAUGAUCUUGCCACAGAAAUCUCAGCUGAUGCCAAGCAAAGUUGUCCGAGUUCCAAGCAUGAAACAGCCAGGCUAUAUAACACUAUCAUCACAGAUAAUUUGUUUAAUUUAGUGAUGUUGGCUCCUUUUUCUCCUUUUCUCCAUAGUUAAUCUCUUUUGGAUGAAGUCUUGAACUUAUAGCAUGAUUGGCUUUGAAAUGUUCAACCUUUGCUCUCUGUGUGAGUUCCAAACAAAUGAGAUAUUCUGUGUUUAUCCACCGAUCCCUAACUGAGAAGUUUGCUGAAGUCCAAGUUGUAUCAUAAUUCCCUACAAAUGUUGCACUUCCUUUUUUUUUGUCAGAUUUCUUUUUUAGUACUGAUACAUCUGGGAUGAAAUAUUGCAAUCUGAUGACCUUAAGGGAUCUGGGUAGAACAUACAGCACCUCCUGAAAGCUGGCUUUUCCCAGGAGUACCUGGUUUUUAUGCCAGAAGGAAAGAUAUUUUAACAAGGUUCUGGAGAAUUGUUACCAAAGUUCAAAGGCCAGCUCUUCUUGCAACAUUAAAUUGUAAAGAACAAACAUCUAUUGCAAAACCAGUAUAUUUUGAUAUAAUUGUGUUUGCUUCUAUAUUUUCUCAAUAAUCAGAGGUGUGCAUUCCUGAAGGGUCAGAAAAUGAGUGGAGGUGGUAUUUUUAGGGUGGCCAUAUAUCCUAUUUUAGAGAGAACAAUCUUCAGUUUGAAUGCAUCCUAUGUUUGAAGGCCUGUUCACUCCAUGUUUAGCUGAAAGAUAAAGGACUAUAAGAAGAAAAAGAAGGGGGCUUGAAGCUGUCUACCUGCAGUCAGCACCAGGAUAGCAGACUGAGCAAACACACAGGUUACCUCACCAUCUUUCCUACAUGGUAAGAUGUAUGGUACUUGUAUUUAAAUGUUAGUAAUUAUUUCUAGUAUAAGUUAACAAAUGCAGAUUUGAUACAAAUCAAUUUCUUUAUUUGUCUUUUUUGUGAUACAUGGUGCAUGUCCUAAUUUUUAUUAUCUGUAGCUGCACACCAUACUUGCCAGUUUGGUUAUAAAACAGGGUUUAUAGCACAGUAGUAAUUCCUAUACUUUGCAUGUAUAAGAUCCUAUGUUUUCUCCCCAGCAUCUCUAGGCAGAACUAAAAAGGAAUCCUGCCUGAAAUCCUAGAGAGCUGCUAAUAGAGGAUGGACCAAUUCAGUAUAGGACAGCUCCCAGUGUCUACUUUUAUCACAAUGAAGUAUGUCAGGGACAGAAUGGAGUCAAACUUAAAUCUCUCUGCCUUUCCUACUCUGUGCCACAGCUUUAAUUUUCACUUCAGUUUAGACCUGGAUAGUAGAAGUCACUGGCUGAGUAAAAAUGUCAGUCUGCAGAGCUAUAUCUGUAUGCCACCAUUUUAAACAAACUGCCUAAUUUAAUUUGGAGAUUUUUUCCAGUAAAUUAAAAUUUGAUAUAACUGAUUAAUCAAUUAAAAAAUGCUGUCCUUGUAUGUGUGUGUUUCUCUCUCUCUGUGAGCACACA